rnacentral:rRNA from 1 species
AUUGAACGCUGGCGGCAUGCCUUACACAUGCAAGUCGAACGGUAACGCGGGGCAACCUGGCGACGAGUGGCGAACGGGUGAGUAAUAUAUCGGAACGUGCCCAAUAGUGGGGGAUAGCUCGGCGAAAGCCGGAUUAAUACCGCAUACGACCCACGGGUGAAAGCGGGGGACCGCAAGGCCUCGCGCUAUUGGAGCGGCCGAUGCCCGAUUAGCUAGUUGGUGAGGUAAUGGCCCACCAAGGCGACGAUCGGUAGCUGGUCUGAGAGGACGACCAGCCACACUGGGACUGAGACACGGCCCAGACUCCUACGGGAGGCAG